rnacentral:lncRNA from 1 species
GUGAAAUAAAUGUUCUAGAAAAGGUUAACUCUUGAAGGACAGGAAGCGGUGCUUCGAAAGGACAGAGUGAGCCUCCUCCAAGGUGCUGGGAACAAGAUGAACACAUACCUGCCAACUGUCCCUGUGUGGGAAGCACUGCCCUUGGGGAUGUGUAAGGCCGGGAGGGAGGAGGAGGAGAGACCUUCUCCCCACUCAGUCUCUUCAGAAUUCCCUCCAGUUCAGGAUCUCCCAGCAUAAUUAAAGGGCCGUCCCCUUUCUUCCCCUCGGCAUCACCACAUACAGUUCUCAGAUGUUCGUGGAAAUGAAUUAAUUCACCACUGAACUUGUAACAUGCCUGGUGCCUUUAGUGCUCAUUACCAUCACAGGACAGCUAGCGGGAUUAGAUCCAUUAUGCGGACUCCAUGUGUGGUUAAUGUGAGUAAAAAGAAUGAGCAGUGUGAUAUAAAACUGCAUGUUUAAAAGAUCUUAGUGACAAUGCACGUUCUGGGAGUGAAUCUUGGCUUGUUCUAGUUCCCAAGAUUAAAAUAAACACACCCUUGAGCUAUGCACAGCCUGAUUGUGCAUAGAAAUGAGUGUGCAUAUCUCCUUCUAAACAAGUACAGAUAAAAACAGAGGUGGCAAAUAUUUCAGCCGGAAUUUAUACCCGUUUUCCUCCGUCUCCUUCUUUACACGUUAUUUCUUUCUGUCUCUGCACAGUGAUAAAUGUGGGUUCCCUGAAGCCCUCUGCUGCAGUUGAGUAAACUGCGCUCUGUUUAAGCAGGGCGAAGUCUGUGCGUGACAUCACAGCGGGAACAAUGGGCACAGCACUGCAUUGCUGCGCCGCGGCCGCGCAGUGCGCUCCGGGGCAGCCUCUAACGAGAUCAAGAUGGGCACGCAUCUGUGCUCCCAGAGAAGGCAGGGAACGCCAAGGAGCGGUCAGACGGCGAGUGGCACAGAACAGGAAGAAUGGAGCAUCUGGGGGAUUCUGUAAGUAAAAGUACCCAUGGAAUCUACAAAUUCUACCAUCUCUCCUUUGCUCUCUAUUGCUUGCUCCUUUCUCAUUUUGUUAAUGGAAAGCACACUGUUGGCUUUUCUAAGACACAUUCUGAUGCAAUCGGUCAUGCUGUGGAAUCUGCUAAGCGCAGUGAGCUCUCCAGCUGUGACAGCCUCCACCACCCCAGCACCCUCCACAACCCAGGAGAUCUGUGACAUCAUCUGAGACAACACCCUGUGUGCUCCCCGGCCAGGAAGGCUGCUGCUCCUCACUGGGGAUUCAGAAGAUGUCACUGGCAUUAUGUGGCACGUGGCUGCGACGCUCAUACUUGAUUUUAACCAUGAAAUUUCUGCUAAAGUAACCCUUUGUACGUGGAAUAAAGGACCCAUAAAUCGGUUUGAAAUCUUUUCAACGUUACAAAUCUCACUUUCUUCCUACUUCAGUUUUCAAAAUUUCAUUUUCAGUAAAAUAAAAACGAC